rnacentral:tRNA from 1 species
AUUCCCGUCGACUAAUGGUUAGGUCAUAACUCUUUCAAGGUUACAGUGCCGGUUCGAAUCCCGUCAUCAAUACAA